rnacentral:sRNA from 1 species
GCCAGGCACGGUGGCACAUACCUGUAAUCCCAGGGACCUGGGAGCCUGAGGCAGGAGGAUCACAAGUUUGAGGCCAGCUUCCACAUGUUAGUGAGACCCUGUCUUUU